rnacentral:rRNA from 1 species
GCUCAGGAUGAACGCUAGCUACAGGCUUAACACAUGCAAGUCGAGGGGUAGCAGGGUAGCAAUACCGCUGACGACCGGCGCACGGGUGAGUAACACGUAUCCAACCUUCCCAUGACUCAGGGAUAGCCUUUCGAAAGAAAGAUUAAUACCUGAUAGUACUUUUUUAAGGCAUCUUGAAAAAGUUAAAGAUUUAUCGGUUAUGGAUGGGGAUGCGUUCCAUUAGAUUGUUGGUGAGGUAACGGCUCACCAAGUCUUCGAUGGAUAGGGGUUCUGAGAGGAAGGUCCCCCACAUUGGUACUGAGACACGGACCAAACUCCUACGGGAGGCAGCAGUGAGGAAUAUUGGUCAAUGGGCGAGAGCCUGAACCAGCCAAG